rnacentral:rRNA from 1 species
AGAUUGAACGCUGGCGGCAUGCCUUACACAUGCAAGUCGAACGGCAGCACGGGAGCAAUCCUGGUGGCGAGUGGCGAACGGGUGAGUAAUACAUCGGAACGUGCCCAGUAGUGGGGGAUAACCCGGCGAAAGCCGGACUAAUACCGCGUACGACCUACGGGUGAAAGCAGGGGAUCGCAAGACCUUGCGCUAUUGGAGCGGCCGAUGUCAGAUUAGCUUGUUGGUGGGUAAAAGCCCACCAAGGCGACGACGGGUA